UUACGGUCACAUCCCGUUGAAACACCAGUUUCUGUAUGAUCACUGAAGUUAAGCAACGUCGAGCCAGGUCAGUACCUAGAUGGCUGGCCGCUUAAGAAUAGCGGGUGCUGUAAG